AGAAAACUUAAUUUCAAUCGCGGAAAACAUAUUCUAGAGAAUUUAGUCUAAAACAGGAAUAGAUCACUACUAGAACCACUGUUGCUAAUAAGUGGACUAGUAUUGGUACCAGUGAAAUGAUCAAGCAACUAGUAGACAAUAAACAAAUACACAGGCUGCUGGUGAUUCCCUGCAGCAUGUACAUGGCCUGGCCACGUAAGGCAGAGCGCACAUGGCCACGUUCGGAUAAGGAGACAGACUUUAGAGAAUAAAUCCCCAAUCUUCCUGGGACUCAAAAAGGCGGAGAGCCGGAGAGCCCAUGGCCGCCACCACCUCCACGCAUGCCACCGGAGCAGCGUUCACCGGCGACGAGAUGUGUUCCCGUCACGCUCGUCCUCAUCCGAGGAUCCGCCAGGGAGCUGCGUCUCGGGCGCGACGCCGUUCGUCAGUCCCAGCGCGGCCGGGCUCCAUGAGCCGGCACGGCGGCCUCGGCUACUUGAUGGCGAGGCGUCCGGCGGGCUGGGAAGCGUGACGCCGAGAGCCAUGAGGCGACGGCGAGCGCCUGUGCGAGGCAAAGGCGGAGGAGUGGCAGGCGCGACGGCCCGACAGUGUCCGCGUCGACAACCACAUCGUUGGCUUUGGCUUCAACAACCGCAGGAGUUGGAGACGGCAGCGCCCCGGCCUCAUCAUCGUCGUCGAUUAUGACGACCUCGUUCGACUGGCCGGUGCUCAAGUCCCGGCACGGCGGUCGAUGGCGGCCAUGGUGCGGCCGUAAAGCCUCUCGGCGAGAGUGCUCCAGCCCGCGUUGGCGGGACAGGUGCGCGCGAGGGCGCGACAGAGCGCGGGAGCGCGGCGCGGCCAGGCAGCGGCCACGGGCAGGAGGGCGCGCAGCCGGGCGGCCGGGCGCGGGGGCAUGUUGCAGCGCGGAGGCCGUGGUUUGGGGCGCGGCGGGGAGGGCGGCGGCCGAGGCGCGGGGCGGCCAGCGCGGCCAGAAGGCGAUGGCGCGACGCGCGGCAUGGCCGGGCGGAGCCGGCCACGGCCUGGCUCGGGCGGGGCGCAGUAGCUACGCGGCCCGGAACGGCCACGGCGCGGGCGGCCGACGACGAGGGCACGAUGCGCGGUCGUGCGAAAGUUUUGAGGCCUGGUGCUCUCGGUUACGAGCGUGCUGAUAACGUGUUUUCAAU
rnacentral:rRNA from 1 species